rnacentral:lncRNA from 1 species
CCAGGACAAGGGAAAAACUAUUAUUGAUGUACCGGAAACCUCUGACAAGCGGAAAACAGACAUUAUUGUGCAGGUUUAUUCGGUUACUUUUAAUAAGAUGGUAUGUUAGUAAAAAAUAUUAUUAUACCUAGCUUUUAUGGACUUCACAAACUCAAUAUACUUCCUUAUUUUAUGCCUUGAUAAGUUUGUGUCCCGAUUAUUGUGCCACACUUUAUAUAUUUUUAUGUUUUUUUGUUUAUUAUCAAUUUUUAAAUUUUUCCAUGACUUUCAUACCAUUUAUUAAUAUUCAUAUGAAUAUGGUUAUGUUUUCUCUAUCUAUGAUACAUUUUCUUGUUGUCUUUUUGUUAUAAACGUGGGCUACAUUUGUUCCUAUUGAAAAGUGUCAUGGUUAUGCCGUUGGAUGCGCAUCACAUCCUACAAUAUGCAAUUAUAGUAUGUAUGUUAGUGUUCCUCAUGUUGUGAAAUCAUACUUGUUCAUGCAUAAAUGUGUUGCAUUGGCUGUAUUUUGAUAGUGCAAUUCAUCACGUCAACAACUAAACAUUUUUAUGAAAAAAAUCCAAUAGUAAAAUAUGUAUAUCUGAAACGUACUCAUCCUACAAAACAUAUAAACAUUAAACAAUGAAUGGAUCUAUUUCUAUUAUAUGUGCCUCAAUACACUUUAGAGUUGCAACAUUUUUGUAGAUGAGUGUGCACUCCUUUAUGUGUGAUGUACACAACAGUGCAGUUUAUAUAUGUUGUGAUUCAUUUAAAUUCUUGGUUUGAUCUUCCUUUUCUGCUCUUGUUUUGUUGUGUCUACUGAUUAGACCCCCUGUCGAAAAUAUACCAGCCGGGUAACCUCAGACUGACUAAAGGAUAGGACGACCUAAUGUAGAGGUCGUCCUCCCUUAAGUCGGUUUAGUAGAUAUUUUGUGAAGGAAUCCUUGUUAGAUUAUGAAGGAAUCUGUGUUGUGAUCUUUUUUAAUUUAAGUUCAUAUAUGGACCUGGUUGUUAUAAAAUUCUUGUUAUAUAUGUUUGUAUCAUGUAUAUUUAUAUCUAUUUGUCCUCAUAAUCUACAUCAGAUUGCACUUAUUUUUCAUAUUUUGUUUGCUUCAAUUAUCCAUGUAGCUUUGUCAAGUGUGUGGCAAGAAAGGUGGGCCAUGCAUAAUUAGAGACAAGCCAAAGAGCUUCUGGACUAUUGAUAUGCAGGAGUCAUUCAAAAAAAUUGUGGUAUUUAGUUGAAGAUGCAAUAAUUUGUUCUAAAAGAGUUAGUUUCUAAUUGUUAUAUUGUUAAUAAGUUUAUCCUUUUAUGCAGAUUGUGCCCUGCCAUGUCCGCGACCAGUUCAAUAAUAUGGCUAUUGAUCAGGUGAUUUUUGAAACUGGAGACUAUGCUCAAUACACUGUGCAAGUAUACAAGCAACAAGAUCGUACCAUUAUUUUGGGAGCACGAUGGGAAGACUAUGUUGCUCAAUACAACAUACAAGUAGGGG